CCUCUUUACUCUUAUUAAAAACUGAGGCAAAGUAUUCACUGAGGUGUUGAGCCGUACCCAGAUUAUCUUUAACCUCCACUCCAUGCUCAGUUGUUAGUGGUCCCACUUCUUCUUUCCUAGUUGUCUUUUUAUGUAUAUGGCUAAGGAACCUUUUACUAUUGGUUUUAAUUUCCUUUGGGAGGUCCACCUCAACUCAACUUUUAUCCA